GACUAAGUUGUCUUCAAUGAGACAAGAAUUAUAUGACAAAACGGAAAAAUUUGUUCAAUAUUUCAAACCAAUGGAGAAAGUGGGAAAAUGUCAUCAAAGUUUUAUGUCCAGAGGAAUAACUCAUAAAUUACCUGAACAAGAAGAAAAUCGAAACUGCUUCAACAAUUGUGAAGAAAAUUCUGAAAACUUGGAUGCUCAGCCUACAAUAGUUUUUGACAUAGAUUUCAACAGCAACCAGUAUCCAUUAAUUGGAGAAAAGUAGCAAAAAACAGUACUAUACUGACAUUCAUUUAAACAGAAUUUUUU